GCCGGUGACAAACCGGAGGAAGGUGGGGAUGACGUCAAAUCAUCAUGCCCCUUAUGAUUUGGGCUACACACGUGCUACAAUGGACAAUACAAAGGGCAGCGAAACCGCGAGGUCAAGCAAAUCCCAUAAAGUUGUUCUCAGUUCGGAUUGUAGUCUGCAACUCGACUAUAUGAAGCUGGAAUCGCUAGUAAUCGUAGAUCAGCAUGCUACGGUGAAUACGUUCCCGGGUCUUGUACACACCGCCCGUCACACCACGAGAGUUUGUAACACCCGAAGCCGGUGGAGUAACCAUUUGGAGCUAGCCGUCGAAGGUGGGACAAAUGAUUGGGGUGAAGUCGUAACAAGGUAGCCGUAUCGGAAGGUGCGGCUGGAUCACCUCCUUUCUAAGGA
rnacentral:rRNA from 1 species